GUUGUCUCAUUGGGAUCCUUUCCGUCAGCUAGUUGUGGUUUAUGGAGUCAUGUGAGAAGACAGUCCACAGAACUAGCAUUGCAUUACCUUCUGCUUUUACUGAGAUAUAUUUGGCUGUUUUGUGAGCUAUUC
rnacentral:snoRNA from 1 species